AACGAACGCUGGCGGCAUGCCUAACACAUGCAAGUCGAACGAGACCUUCGGGUCUAGUGGCGCACGGGUGCGUAACGCGUGGGAACCUGCCCUUAGGUUCGGAAUAACUCCCCGAAAGGGGUGCUAAUACCGGAUAAUGUCUUCGGACCAAAGAUUUAUCGCCUUUGGAUGGGCCCGCGUUGGAUUAGCUAGUUGGUAGGGUAAAAGCCUACCAAGGCGACGAUCCAUAGCUGGUCUGAGAGGAUGAUCAGCCACACUGGGACUGGGACACGGCCCAGACUCCUGCGGGAGGCAGCAGUGGGGAAUAUUGGACAAUGGGCGAAAGCCUGAUCCAGCAAUGCCGCGUGAGUGAUGAAGGCCUUAGGGUUGUAAAGCUCUUUUACCCGGGAUGAUAAUGACAGUACCGGGAGAAUAAGCUCCGGCUAACUCCGUG
rnacentral:rRNA from 1 species